AGAGUUUGAUCAUGGCUCAGAAUCAACGCUGGGCGGCGCGCCUAACACAUGCAAGUCGCACGAGAAAGGCUCCUUCGGGGGCUGAGUACAGUGGCGCACGGGUGAGUAACACGUGGAUACCUGCCCUCAAGUGGGGAAUAACUUUGGGAAACCGGGGCUAAUACCGCAUACGUUCGAGAGAAGAAAGCAGCAAUGCGCUUGAGGAGGGGUCCGCGGCUGAUUAGCUAGUUGGUGGGGUAAAAGCCUACCAAGGCAAAGAUCAGUAGCCGGCCUGAGAGGGCACACGGCCACACUGGCACUGAGACACGGGCCAGACUCCUACGGGAGGCAACAGUGGGGAAUCUUGCACAAUGGAGGAAACUCUGAUGCAGCGACGCCGCGUGAGCGAAGAAGCCUUUCGGGGUGUAAAGCUCUUACGCCAGGGACGAUAAUGACGGUACCUGGAGAAGCAGCUGCGGCUAACUACGUGCCAGCAGCCGCGGUAAUACGUAGGCAGCAAGCGUUGUUCGGAAUUACUGGGCGUAAAGGGUGCGUAGGCGGCGCUCUAAGUUUGGUGUGAAAUCUCCCGGCUUAACUGGGAGGGUGCACUGAAAACUGGGGCGCUCGAGUAUGGGAGAGGAAAGCGGAAUUCCUGGUGUAGCGGUGAAAUGCGUAGAGAUCAGGAGGAACACCUGCGGUGUAGACGGCUUUCUGGACCAUAACUGACGCUGAGGCACGAAAGCGUGGGUAGCAAACAGGAUUAGAUACCCUGGUAGUCCACGCCCUAAACGAUGCAUACUUGGUGUGGGUUCUUCACUGGAUCC
rnacentral:rRNA from 1 species